rnacentral:lncRNA from 1 species
UUUGUACUAGGGAGUAGUGCGGCCGCGUCAUCUGCCAAAAAGAUAACAUGAAUCAUGUCUAUGCAGCGCAACAGAGCCUAGUGAAGGCAUAAAGGCAGCGCGACCGUGCUAGUUUGAGGAUUGACCAGAGUUGACUUUUUGUUAAAUCAGUGCAAUUAAGUUGUAACUUACGUAGGAUUUCAUAAUUCAACUAGGAUUUG